AUCAACCGAGAUUCCCCCAGUAGCGGCGAGCGAACGGGGAGGAGCCCAGAGCCUGAAUCAGUGUGUGUGUUAGUGGAAGCGUCUGGAAAGGCGCGCGAUACAGGGUGACAGCCCCGUACACAAAAAUGCACAUACUGUGAGCUCGAUGAGUAGGGCGGGACACGUGGUAUCCUGUCUGAAUAUGGGGGGACCAUCCUCCAAGGCUAAAUACUCCUGACUGACCGAUAGUGAACCAGUACCGUGAGGGAAAGGCGAAAAGAACCCCGGCGAGGGGAGUGAAAAAGAACCUGAAACCGUGUACGUACAAGCAGUGGGAGCCUCUUUUAUGGGGUGACUGCGUACCUUUUGUAUAAUGGGUCAGCGACUUAUAUUCUGUAGCAAGGUUAACCGAAUAGGGGAGCCGAAGGGAAACCGAGUCUUAACUGGGCGUUAAGUUGCAGGGUAUAGACCCGAAACCCGGUGAUCUAGCCAUGGGCAGGUUGAAGGUUGGGUAACACUAACUGGAGGACCGAACCGACUAAUGUUGAAAAAUUAGCGGAUGACUUGUGGCUGGGGGUGAAAGGCCAAUCAAACCGGGAGAUAGCUGGUUCUCCCCGAAAGCUAUUUAGGUAGCGCCUCGUGAAUUCAUCUCCGGGGGUAGAGCACUGUUUCGGCAAGGGGGUCAUCCCGACUUACCAACCCGAUGCAAACUGCGAAUACCGGAGAAUGUUAUCACGGGAGACACACGGCGGGUGCUAACGUCCGUCGUGAAGAGGGAAACAACCCAGACCGCCAGCUAAGGUCCCAAAGUCAUGGUUAAGUGGGAAACGAUGUGGGAAGGCCCAGACAGCCAGGAUGUUGGCUUAGAAGCAGCCAUCAUUUAAAGAAAGCGUAAUAGCUCACUGGUCGAGUCGGCCUGCGCGGAAGAUGUAACGGGGCUAAACCAUG
rnacentral:rRNA from 1 species